UGCCUCCGAUGUUUUUAGUGAAAUCAGACACCUUAAGAUCGUGUGAUUAAGGGGAUUAAAAAAAAUGUGGAGCGUGAGAGACACGCGUGACAGGCGAGAGAGUGGCGAACACGAAUGUCCCACUUGAGCUGGAGAAUUGUGAUUAGUGAUCGAUCGAAUGCGGCGGCAACGAUGGUGGUGAAGUCGGAUAAAAAGGUCACCGUUAAUGCUCGUUCUG